GACGAACGCGGCGGCGUGCCUAAUACAUGCAAGUAGAACGCUGAAGAGAGGAGCUUGCUCUUCUUGGAUGAGUUGCGAACGGGUGAGUAACGCGUAGGUAACCUGCCUGGUAGCGGGGGAUAACUAUUGGAAACGAUAGCUAAUACCGCAUAAAAUUGAUUAUCGCAUGAUAAUCAAUUGAAAGGUGCAAAUGCAUCACUACCAGAUGGACCUGCGUUGUAUUAGCUAGUUGGUGGGGUAACGGCUCACCAAGGCGACGAUACAUAGCCGACCUGAGAGGGUGAUCGGCCACACUGGGACUGAGACACGGCCCAGACUCCUACGGGAGGCAGCAGUAGGGAAUCUUCGGCAAUGGACGGAAGUCUGACCGAGCAACGCCCGCGUGAGUGAAAGAAAGGUUUUUCGGGAUUCGUAAAAAGCUCUGUUGUAAAGAGAAAGAAACGAAGUGUG
rnacentral:rRNA from 1 species